CAACGCGAAGAACCUUACCUACUCUUGACAUCCAGAGAACUUAGCAGAGAUUGUGAAAUGUUGGGUUAAGUCCCGCAACGAGCGCAACCCUUGCCAGCGGUCCGGCCGGGAACUCAAAGGAGACUGCCAGGAGGAGGGAGGGGACGACGUCAAGUCAUCAUGGCCUUUAUACACACGUGCUACAAUGGCGCAUACAAAGAGAAGCGACCUAGCUAAUCCCACAAACCCAGCCCCAGUUCAGAUUGCACUCCUCCAUGAAGUCGGAAUCGCUAGUAAUCGUAGAUCAGAAU
rnacentral:rRNA from 1 species